CUCCUUCCAUAGCUCCCCAAACCUGGCCCGGGUCUCCUGUGAGCCUUCCGUUCCUCUUGCCUGGGUCCUCCCCACCUCCUCACCCCUGACUAGGCUGCCUGCCCCUCAAGGUCACCCUCAGGCCAUCAGCUCAAGCCACCAGACUGGACUGUCACCCGCAGGCCUCUGACCGACCUUCCACCCUCACAGGCCGACCUUUCCUCCUGUCUCAUGAGAAACACAGAAGCCUCUGUCCCCUCCUCCCACCAAAGCUGUGGUCCCAGCCUACAGUCCUUCCCCACCAGGGGCACCGCGCCCCAGACAGUUCUCCCCAUCUCCGAGCAGAAGGACACACGGCACCUGGCGGAGGACCCUCCCUGCGCUCCCCGUCAGAGUGGAACUUCGAAGACCCUGCACCCUCACUCACCUCACAGUGACGACCCUGCUACGUCUGCCUCCAUCACUCCUGCAAGAGGCCCUGGAUGUUUUCUGUUUUGUUUUUUUGAGACAGGGUCCCACUUUAUAGUGCAGGCUGGUCUUCAACCCCCUAUGUAGCCCAUGCUGGCCUCGAACUUGUGGCAGAACUCCUGCCUCAGCCUCUGGAGUGCUGGGAUUACAGGUGUGCCCCACCACACCGAGCAUAACCCCAAGGACCUCCUAGUGAAGAUCUCAGGGGCCACAUCUCACCCACUAUCCCUUCCUGCCACGAUGCAUCGCCCCCUAGUCUGCCCUUUGUCAGAGCGGGGUCUCGCUUUGUCGUCCAUGCUGGCCUUGAACUCACUAGGCAGCCCAGGCUGGCCUUGAACUCCUGGCAAUCCUCCUGCCUCAAUCCCCUGUCUCUCUGCUGGGAUUAUAAUGUACGCCACCACACCCAAUUCAAGACAGAUUUGGAGAGAAGGGACC
rnacentral:lncRNA from 1 species